rnacentral:rRNA from 1 species
UGAGGAAUAUUGGGCAAUGGGCGCAAGCCUGACCCAGCGACGCCGCGUGUGGGAUGACAGGGCUAUGCCUUGUAAACCACUGUCGGGUGGGACGAAAAGCGAGCUACGGCUCGCCGGGACGGUACCACCAAAGGAAGGGUCGGCUAACUACGUGCCAGCAGCCGCGGUAAUACGGAGGAUGCAAGCGUUGUCCGGAUUUACUGGGUUUAAAGGGAGCGUAGGCGGCGUGGUAAGUCAGAUGUGAAAUCC